GACAAACAUUUCCUGUUUUAGAUGAGUAAAAGGGCUUCCUUAGAUUAUAUGCUCUUGCUGGCCAAGUUUUUCAUCCUUGCCUAAUGCUUCUUGAGGAGUGUAUAUGCUUAGUGAUUGUCACCCCUCCAUAGGAUCUCUAAUAACUACAGUUUAGCAAAUAUGUAGUUACUUGUUUGAAGGCUUGAAGGUUGAAGCUGUUCAGCCACACACAUUCUUUAUUAUAACAGUUAACGAGGCUAACCUGGCAUACCUAAUUACGCUUCAUUAAUC
rnacentral:lncRNA from 1 species